CCUGAGGGACUGCACUUGUUCUCUGAUCUCUUUUCAGAGCGAGCAUUUAAUGAGGAUGACAGUGCCCCGAAAGACAAGCAGAUAGUUGAGAAUGGUGUGAAUCAGGAAGAAGCGACCCAGGAUGCAGACGGUGGAAAUGGGGAGCAUCUAAACUCUUCCAGCUGCAGUAAAGAAGAUCUUAAAGCAAUGAAGUUGUCAGAGAUUCACCAAGAAGCACUUUGAAGAGAGGCUGAACUGUUUCCAGCGCCUAUUUUUCUACUAUGUGACAACAAAUAGGCCAAAUCUUUUGAAUUGUUUUGUAUAUGGUUUUAACAAAUGGUGCUCUACUAACACACCAAAGCUUCUUUGUAGUUGAUACUUAGAGAUUUACAAAGUUUUAUAUAUUUGCAUGAAUGUGGACAAAUCAAAAACUGAUCAGCUUUCUAUGCACUUUUUUAUCAGUGCCUUUUUACGGUCAGAGAAAAGCUUCAUCCUUCAGCAGGCCCAGAUGGAUGGAAGUUUGCAUUUUCUAGUCUUGGUUCUAGACAAUGCUAUGUCCUAGAGUUGGCAGAUGCCUGGCGAACUGAUCAUCUCCUGACAGUGGUUCAUUCUGUGAUAGAACUACGUAUCAUCUUGUUGUUGCACUGGAACAAAGCUGCUGUUAACAGCAGGUUUCGGCUUUUCAUAAAGCUUUUUAUCUUCUUUGAACUUUUAGGACCUUUCUAUUUAAGCCUUAGCUCUUCAUAUUUUUCUGAGAAGGCCAGUUGACUUCUACUCAUUUCUGGGAAAUAAUAGUAUGUUUUAAAGUUGCUUGAGACUAGAACAAAAACUUGAAAGCUGAGGUUGUGUAUAUAAUGAAGAUCAAAAAUAAUCAAAGAGAAAAACACCAUGCAUUAAUAUUUUCAGAACAUCAAGCUAUGGAGUGUUUUUCAUUAUGUUUACAUGCUGGUUGUUCAUGAAAGUUGGAAGCCAGUUUAGUUCAUUUUGAACUUGUUAUGCGUAAAGAAUCAUGAAGAUUUGACACUGAUAACCAAACAUUAGAAGUUUCAGCUUUCUCUUUGUUUCAGGUUAUGCCCUUUCUACUCCACAAUUUCUUCUGCUAUUUACAGCUGUACUCCAUACAUGUACAGCGUACAAAUGUCCAAAAGCCCUACUUUUGGUAGCACUAGACCUUUUACCUUUUGUGCUGCAUGUAAAUAUAAUUUAUUGUCCUAGGGUGACUCUGUGAUGCUUGUAUCCCCAACUGUCUGUUCUGUUUGUGCUGUAUGUUGAGUUCUGUGCUUUUAAGGACUGGUUCUAAGAGCAAGAGGUGCGGAGUUUGUUUCGAGAAAACUGCCUGACUCUUCCACAUUCUUCUCCGGACGCGGUGUUCACCGGAGGCUUGGAGACACUGCAGGACAGAGAUCUUUUUGCUUUUAGUUAGUUUCAGCUAGCUAGACCAAAGAAGUUCCCUGGACUGUUUUUUUUCCCCUUUUUUCUUGGGACUGUUUAAAUCUGCUCUGGACUGAAAACCCAGGGGAUCACUUGGGGCUUACACCUGCGGCCCACCGGGGCCUGGACCUCGGCAUUUUCCAGUAGUACCAGAAGAACUGAAACUAAUGAGAGACUGAGAGAGAGCCGACCUACAUCCACAGGAAGAACUUUCUCAAUUUGCCAUCUCACUCCAGAACGAGAGGUUUUAUUGUUUCGUAUUAUUCAUUCUUUAUACUUAUAUGCACUUUGUUUGUUAAGUAAAAUAGUUUUUUUCCA